AGAACAACGUUGCUGGAUAAGGAUUCCCAAGAAUCAUUUGCUGAGAGACUGUUUAUACGUGACCCUCUCUGCCCCUUCCCUCCCCCAGCGCUGUCAGUCCCACUGGAAGAGGAGCUUCCCUUCUCCGAGCCACUGCUGAGGUGGGUGCACAGCCACUGCAUUUUCUCCUGCUUAAGAACAGUCUCUACACUUGAUAAAUCCAUCCGGUUGAGCAGUUCCCCCUGCCCCAACUCUUUCUCCUCUGUGUGCUGCUGUAGUAAUCCGGAGGCCAAACCCAAGGACUUUCUCAGACCCGCUACCCCUCCCCAAAUCCUGCAUGCUAAUGUUGUGAGAAAUUGUACCCCCUCUAGACCUGAGCACAUGGAUCUGUCCUGUUUCCACCAACACUGCUCUCAGUUUCAAGAGUCUACUAAACCCCAGUUAGUUACACAUGACAUUCGCUUGACGUUUGACAGUCCUCAAAAUAUAAAUGAUUUGUUCUGUAGAAUGGAAGCAUCUACUUCUAAGCCACUAAUAACUGCACACUGGUAUUGCAAAUAGUACAGCUUUAUAAAAAAUAUUUUGAACUACUAAAGAUUACAAAAGACUUAAAGCAGAAGAAAACAUUUAUUUAUAAUUUCAAACAGUUUGAGAGUUGAUCUUAUUAUCUUACUGUGAAAAUGAAACAGACUGAGUAUAUAACCUGGCCCAGGGACCACAGCAGACCUUUCUAGCCACGUAGGACUAUGG
rnacentral:lncRNA from 1 species